rnacentral:misc_RNA from 1 species
AGAGAGAGCAGAUUUCACAUCUCGAUUGAUGAGAUGAUUAUCAACAAGCAAGGAAUAUGAUGUUGAGUUGGGUUUGAUCCCUAAGCUUACCAUAUGCUCAAACACCCUUGCAGCCUCAAAUGUCUUCUUGAGCCUUCCAAAAGCAUACAUAAGAGCAUUGUACGAAUGAAUAUCAGGAGUCAAUCCAAAGGAAGAGCCAAUCGCCUCAAAAGUUUGAUAAGCACGGUCAAGGUCCCAUACAUUUGCACAACCUAAAACUAUACAAUUAAGAGCAGCAACUGACUUGUAUGGACUUUCUGCACGGCUCAAAUUCUCCAACUGAAAAUAAACCAGGUCCAGAGUCUCAAAACCCUUCUUUGAGCAUGCCACAACCAAAGGAUAUAAAGAAGUAAAUGGUGAGAACAAUUCUCCUGCUGCUUCUUUGUCCGUACUCCCAUAAGCAGACUCAAAUUCACGAAGAGUACUAAAAGCCUUCUGGAGAUUCCCCAGUGAUGCAUAGGCAUAUAUUUUCCCAAUAUAAGAUUCUGGUUGAGGGGACUUUUUUUGACGUAAUGAGUGACGGAGAACUUCCCAUGAUGCAUCCAAGAGAGUAGAACUAUAUGUCUUGCCAGCAGUUCCAAGUGUGGAUAUGAUCAGCCCUUCAUCUACAGAAAGUAGAACAGCAGGCCUUGCACUCUCACCCCUGGCAAUCCAUUUGGCCAUAAAUUCUAAGGCAUAAAAUGCUAAUUUGUUAUUAUCCUCCCGUAUUGCAGCUUCUGCAAUAAAGUUGCACAUGUUCCAAGUUGGACAAAGAGCUUUGUUCUGAUCCAUUGUCUUGCACUUGUCAAUAAUUGACACCAAAGUAUCCAGUCUUCCUUUGUUAACACAGCUACUUACACAAUUAUUAAACACUCUUAUUGAUAUAGUAUAACCAUAUUUCAAACCCUUAUCUACAUAUUUCAAGGCAGCAUCAAUUUGGUACGCCGAAAACAGCAUAUCAAUAACCAAAUCAUAAGACUCAUCAUCAGGCCGCGAUUCAUUCC